AACGCGAAGAACCUUACCUGGGCUCGAACGGCUUCGGACAAUCCUUGGAAACAGGGACUUCCCGCAAGGGACUGGAGUCGAGGUGCUGCAUGGCUGUCGUCAGCUCGUGUCGUGAGAUGUUGGGUUAAGUCCCGCAACGAGCGCAACCCUUGUCCUGUGUUGGCAUGCCGCAAGGCGCAACUCUCAGGAGACCGCCAGCGAUAAGUUGGAGGAAGGUGGGGAUGACGUCAAGUCAUCAUGGCCUUUAUGACUAGGGCCACACACGUGCUACAAUGGCCGGUACAAAGAGAAGCCAAGUCGCAAGAUGGAGCUAAUCUCCCAAAACCGGUCUAAGUUCGGAUUGGAGUCUGCAACUCGACUCCAUGAAGCUGGAAUCGCUAGUAAUCGUGGAUCAGCACGCCACGGUGAAUACGUUCCCGGGCCUUGUACACACCGCAUAC
rnacentral:rRNA from 1 species